UAAUAAGUGUUUUAUGGCACUUUUUAAAUCCAUAUCCACCUUGUGUGCAAUGUCAGUCGAUCUUCUUCAUGGAGAUCGACCAAACAUCAACCUUUAUCUUUAAACUCUUUGUCUGAAAAAUAUUAUGAAUAAACAAUUCAAAAUA
rnacentral:misc_RNA from 1 species